AACCUAUAGAAUUAUUCUCUUAAUUAGUGGAGCCCACAUUCUUUCUUUUCUUAAUUAGGAUGUUAGUAGAGGCAUGGAGCACCAUAUUCUCUCUUCUUAAUUAGGAUGGAGCCCACAUUCACUCUCUUCUUAAUUAGGAUGUUAGUGGAGGCAUGGAGUCCAUAUUCUCUCUUCUUAAUUAGGAUGGAACCGCUUCUUUCCAAAUAUUUCUCACGUUAUCUUUUUUUUCUUCGCACUGUUCCCCUCCUCUUUGGUGGAGCCCAUAUUCUCUCUCUUUUAAUCUAUAAAAUAUAAUAAAUCCUCAUGGAUUUCAAGCCCUCUCCGCAAUUCAUGGAAAAAAGUGGGCCUGUCCCCUCUCUAAACCUAUAGAAUUAUUCUCUUAAUUAGUGGAGCCCACAUUCUCUCCCUUCUUAAUUAGGAUGUUAGUGGAGGCAUGGAGCUCCAUAUUCUCUCUUCUUAAUUAGGAUGGAGCCCACAUUCACUCUCUUUUUAAUUAGGAUGUUAGUGGAGGCAUGGAGUCCAUAUUCUCUCUUCUUAAUUAGGAUGGAGGCAUGGAGCUCAUAUUCUCUCUUCUUAAUUAGGAUGGAACCGCUUCUUUCAAAAAUUUCUUACGUUACCUUUUUUUUCCUCGGACAGUUCCCCUCCUCUUUUGUGGAGCCCAUGUUCUCUCUCUCUUAAUUAAGGUGGGGCUAAUUUCCUUCUAAAUACUUCUUACGUUAAUUCGUCAAGUAAUAAAACCAACCCCAACGAAAUCACAUUUUUAUUUUUUCUCUUCUCUUUUAUUCUUGCAUUAAAUUAUGUUUUUUUAAUUCCUAUCAACAAUUUUUAUUCUCUUUUAUUGUUUAUUUUUUGUUUUCUUUCUUUGUUCUCCGUUGGAUUAUAUUUUCAUUCUAAAACAAUUUUUAAUAUAUUUUUUAUAUUAUUAACCAAUCAAAUAUUAAUUAUUUUCUACUAUAUUUUUAUAUUUUUAUUUGUAUAUUUAAUUUAUAAUUUAUUAUAAUUUUUAUCCGCCGCAUCGCGCGGGUUCCUACACUAGUGUUAAUUAUAGGCCGUGCUCUUCUUACACACACACAUGCACAAAAAAACAAAAAACAAAAAACAAAAAACAAAAAGCAAAAGAAAAGAUGAAUUAUACUUUGAAAACCAAAAGUAUAAUUUAUCAAUUUUGCAUUUUUCAAAAAUUAUACUUUGAGAACCAAAAGAUAAAUUAUACUUUGAGAAUCAAAAGCAAAAUCCGAGCGCAUUUUCCACUUUUACAUAUCCAUGCCGAAUUUUUGUAGUGUUUGUGGUGUUUAGCGGCAAGUGUGAUUUUAGCAUCUACGGCUUGUCGACACGCCUGGAUAGUGUCGGUACAAGUCAGAAUCGUUUUGGUGCGAAAUAGACAUAAACGGACUCAGCGCGACGCGAGAGUGGAGUUCUGACACUGAAAUCUGCAAAGUGCAGAAUUUCACUGUUGAGUACUGGUACCUGAGGAGAAGUACCAGUACCCCAGUGAGAUUCAGAACUGGAUGCUCUCGGAUUGCGUAUAUUCGAUGUUGAGUACCGGUACCUGAUGUUGAAUACCGGUAUCAAGCUUGGGUACCUGUACUGUAUCGGGCUGGUACCGGUACCAAGUGCGCGAAACUACACGCUGAGGGCCCGAGUACCGGUAUUCAAGCUGAGAACCGGUACUCUAGCUGGAAAGUAAGUUGGUGAGAGGCAGUUUGGUCCUUUUUAUGUGUCGUUCAAUCCUAUGUUUACCCAGUCUAUAUGUAUGUGUAGAGAGCUGCAGAGAAGAGAAUUCUUCUCCUUUCCCUCUCUUUUUCUAGCUGGUGGACACCGUCUGUUGGGGAGGUCGAGGCUCGAGCUCGUUCGGAUUUGAUGUUACUUCGGAGGACCGUUUGUGCGCGUGGUUGUCGCGGUUAUGCCGUUGGAGGUCGGGCGAGUGCGUAGGUUCCCUCAUGUCGAUUUCUCGCUGUUGUUGGACCAGCGCUCGAGGUGGGUUGAUUUUUACCGAAAUCGUCGGAUUUCCUUCUAAGUCCUAAAAAGUGUCAGCAUUUAUGGUUUUCUUGUGUAGUAUCAUGUUUAGUAGCUCGAGUUCAUGGAUUAGUAUAGUUUUAUGCAAUAUGAAUUUAGAGCCUUAUUGUUGGAAUAUUUAUUUAUAUGCUGAACUUGGAAUUGACUUAGGAGAAAACCAGUAAACCUACACUGUCAUUUCCUGAAAAGUUACCAGAUUUAGCUUUAGGAGCUGUGGUUCUUUUGACUUAGGAGAAAACCAGUAAACCUACACUGUCAUUUCCUGAAAAGUUACCAGAUUUAGCUUUAGGAGCUGUGUUCUUUUGUAUCCUCGAUGUUAAUGUGUACUGGAUACUCAAAUUAGUGUAAGAUGAAUUUACGCUUGUGCUUGGAGGCCGAGCUCGUUUUACAUAUAUGUGUAGAUGGUUUCGUACUGUCGGGUGCUGUCAUGGUUGACGGUGGAUCCAGAUUUGCCACAGAUUGUGUCAAGGACACGUGAGUUUUGGUUGUUAGACCAAUUUGCAUUGACAACAACCUGUGACAGCCUGAUUGAGCUCGGCAAAGACACGCUUGCAUACUCGGUUGGUUCGCGCCCACGAGUGCCGCUUCGGAGUCUAGCUACUUUGCUUUGUGUUGAUGUCGUAGUAUUCCGGUUUGGACUUUGCUCUCCACUAGCCACCCUCGAGGUGGUGUACGGUGUAGCUUAGACAGGUAGGACAGGCGUAUCGCAGUCCCUAGUGAGAUUGGGUUAGUAUAAUGCAUCUUUAUAUCUACAGGUAGAUUGUGUUGGUUAGCGAUAGUAUAGUGGCAUGCAGCUGUAGAGUUCUUUCCAGCUUUCCUUACUACCGUUUGCGCAUAUUUCUGUAGACUUAGUAGGUGGGCCGUUGAGGUCGAUGGCGAUACCCACUGAGGACUACUCUAUUUUGCAGUAGUUCUCAUACCCAGUUGUUGACCCCUUUUUGCAGAACCUUCGUCUGCGGCUACUGCUGUUCCUGAUUCCGACCCAGGGAAGGGAGUCGUGAGCUAGAUUCUUCCUACCCUUGGUUGUUGUGCUAGCGGAGUACCCGUCAGAGGUAGUGGGUUUUGUUUAUGUACAUACUCUUUGUUCGGUUUACUAACAGGAGCGAGGUGUUAGGAUGGUUCGGAGCUUUUGUAUAUACUAUGAACUUUAUGUUUUAUAUACAUGUUUCAGUUUAGCAGCUCUAUACUUCUGGUUGUAACUAUGAUUUGAUUACAAGUACAGCUAUCGCUUCGUAUACUUCGAAAAUUUCUAUAUAUACAGCGGGUCUGUGGGCGUGCUCGAGAAAAUAUGGUAAUCCGAGUCGUGACAUUUUUAGAAACUAAUCAAGAUAUCCAUAUUCUCUUUCUUUUUUCUCUAUCUUUCGUUUCUUCUAUUUCCACUUCUUCUCCCUCGUCCUCCUCUACUGCCCGCACGUCACCACUGUGCUCCUUCCUUACCUUGCCUAUAUCUCCGCUGCCACUGAUAGCAGCGGUGCGGGCUCGAAUACGACAUGAAUCGUGUAGGUGAGUGCGUGGGUAGUGGUGAGGUGCUGGAGAUGGAGGAGCAGAAAGGGAGAGGAAGGAGGAGAAGGGACAGAAAGGGGACAUCAAUGUACUCUUUCAUUUUCUUCUUCUUCUUUUAUUUUUUUUAUUUUUUCUUCAUUAAAGAGAAUAAAAAUAGGCCAAUUUGCAUAAAAAAUUUAUUAGUUUUGAGAUUUUACAAAAAUAGGCCAUCAUUUUAGAUUUUGCAGAUUCAGUUUAAAUUUUUUAAAAAUUACCAAAAUACCCUUGUUCCUUUCUCUCUCUUUUUUUUUUUUCUCUCAUUUUUUUUUUAUUCUAUCCGAAGAGGGCGACAAAGAUGGAGGCGGCCCGCCUCACCUUUACCCCGUGUGCCCUCCUCGCCCGCACACCCCCCACUCUCCUCGCCUCUCAUCCCGCCAAGGCUAUGCAACGACCCUUUUUUUUUUUUCUUUCAAACCUUCCUCCACCACCUCCACGGUCCUGCGCGACGGUAAUGAGGACCGCACAGCACCCUCUUCCUCUACCUUCACCCUCCGCCUCCACCAUAGCAUAUUUUCACGCACCAAACCCACUUUUGGGAACCUGCCAUCCUCACUGCCGACGACGAAGAAGAAGCGUUUCUUAGUGCCGAGAAGCUCGCCGGCGAGAAAGGGGCCCCCACCGCGCCCACCCGGGGCCGGCAAUGAGCGAGGUGAAGACCGAGGAGAGCGCGGCGACAUUGGAGAAGAGGGCGGCGGAAACGAAGGCAGUGUCCAAAAGAGCGGCGGCGAGCGUGGCCUCGACAGGGUCGGAGGCGAAGAGGGCGGGGGUGCACGGGAGCAUCUCUAGUCAAACACUUUUGUUUGUUUUUUAAAAAAAAAUUAACUAAAGGCCAAAACACUAGAGAAUAAAGAAGAAGAACUAAAGAAGAAGAAAAAUAAAGAUGAAGUUGUAGCUAUUAAGAUGAAAUUGUACUAUUUUAGAAUAACGUUACACUAUAAUAGACGUAAGUUAUACUUUUUGAGAUAUAAACUGCACGUUUUAAGAAAAAAUUAUACUUUUUAAACGGAAGUUACACUUUUUGGAGGAUAGUUAUACUGUUUCUACUUCUCCUCCUUCCCCUUUUCUUUCUUAUGCUUCUUCUACGUACGCCUAACUCUCCGCUCUCCACCUUCACCAUAGCAGAUUCGGUAUAACCUUGGAAGAGCUGUUGGAGGUGGAGGUCGAAGAGGAAUUGGGCGUAGAAGAAACACGGGUAAGCAGAGACAAAGGAGGAGGAGGAAACACAAUAUGACUACCUCCCUAAGAGUGCAACUUUUACUUAAAAAGUAUAAUUUUUCAUCUUAAAAAGUACAGUUUACAUCUCAAAAAGUGUAAACGUCUAUAAUAGCGCAACUUCAUCUUAACAAUACAACUUCAUCUUUUUAUUUUUUAUUUUCUAGUUCUUCUUUCUAAUUCUCUAGUUUUUUACUUUUAGUUAAUUUUUUUGUUUUAAACAAACAAAAGUGCUUGACCAAAGAUGUUGCGGUCGAGGUGGAGGUGGAGGGCGAAGAGAAGUUGAGCAUAGAAGAAGCACGAGAAAGCAAAAGAAAAGAAGGAUGAGGAGGAAAAACAGUAUAACUAACCCUUAAAGAGUACAACUUUCAUUUAAAAGUGUAACUUUUAUCUUAAAGAAUACAGUUUACAUCUUAAAGAGUACAACUUACAUCUAUAACAGAGCAACGUUCUACUAAAAUAGUGAAACUUCAUCUUUUUCUUUCAUUUUCUCUAGUUAUUCUUCCUUAUUCUUUAAUUUUUGGUCUUUAGUUUUUUUUUUUUUUCCAUCUCCACCUCACUCAUCAUCGGCUUCGAGUGGGGCCACGUUCCCCUUCCCUCGUUGGCGAGCUUUUCGUUGCUGAGAAGUGCUUCUUCUUCAUUGUUGGCGGCGGUGGUGAGGAUGGCGAGUUCCCAGAAAUGUGUUUUGGUGGGUGAAAAAUUUACUAAUGUGCAGAUGAAGGGCAAAGUCGGAGGAAGAGGAUGCAGUGUCGUUCUCAUUAUCGUUAUGAAGGGCCGCGGAAGGUUGGAGAGAAAAAAAAAAAGAGGGUCGCGGGCGGCCUCAGCGAGUCAAAGGCGAAGAGGGCGGGGGGAUGGGGGGCAAGGGUGAGGGCACGUAGGGGAGAGGCGGGGCGGGCCGCCUCCACCUCUGCCUCCACUGCCCUUUUUAGAGAGAAUAAAAAAAGAGCGAGAGAGAAUAGAAUAAAGGUAUUUUGAUCAGUUUUCUGAAAAUACAGACUGAAUAUACAAAAUUCAAAACAAUGGUCUACUUUUGCAAAAUCUCAAAACUAAUGAAUUUUCAUGCAAAUUGGCCAUAAAAAUAUUGCAAUGUUUGGCUAUGUGUUGUAUUAUUUGAUAAGUAUAAAAAGCUGUAAAAUACUACAAUAUGCAGUCAAAUAAUGCAAUAUACAACGAAAUAGUAUAAUAUGUUUCCACUAUUACACUAUUUGACUAUAUAUUGUACUAUUUAAUAGAGCUUGACGGGGCUACUAUUGGUAGUAAACGGCUCGAUAUACUACUGAUUUGUUUUUGAUAAUAGAGUUUCCAAAUCAACGAUCGACAUCGUUAAACAUAAUCUUAGACCAUUUAAAUUAUCUAAAAAUCAAAUUUCAUAAUUUUUUGACAUCACUAACUGAACGAUCAAAGGGCCAUAAAAUCUGUAAUUUUAAUGACCGAUAUGGUACGUUUGCUCGUUUAACGAUAUAGAAGGGUUCAAAUCAACUAAAUUUUUGUUAAAAAAUUCUUUAAACAAUUUAAAACAAGAUCUAGACUCUAGAUCUUAAAUAUAGAAAUUGUAUCAUCACUUUUUAAAGAAUAUUUAUUUUCAACCAUUCAUUUUUCUGUUCACUUGAUGGACAAAAGAACAAUAUCGAAAAUGCGUAAAAUUUUAUUUUCAGAUAGUUUAAAUGGUUUAGAUUAUAUUUAAUGGUGCCGAUCGACAAUUUGAAAGCUCUAUCAUCGAAAAAAAAUUGGUAGUAAAGCAAGCAGUUUACUACUGAUAGUAUUCUAGCAAAACUCCUAUUUGAUAUUAUGUUACACUACUUUACAAUUUUUUAUAUUUAUCAAAUAAAAUAGUAUAGAGCUAAAUAGUGCAAUAUUUUUAUUCUUUUCAAUGGAAAAAAAUAAAAGAAGAAAAAGAAGGAAAAGAAAAAAACAGAGGACAUCGACGUUCCCUUCCUCUCCCUCAUUCUCCUCCAUUGCCUACAUAUCAUCGCCAUCGCAACCUCGGGCUCUUCGACCUCCCACCCGCCAUCAUCAUUGGAAACCUCUAUGAGAUUAUCACCCUCGUGUCUGCGUCUUAGAUCCGCAAUAUCGGUGGAGAGGAGAAGGAGAAGGGAGAGGAAAAGAGAGGAAGAUGGUGGAGGAGGAGAGAGAGGAAUGUAACGACAGCGAUAAUACUAUUGUCAAAGAAAAUAGAGAGGGAUGAGAGAGUGUAAGGAAAAAGAGGAAUAUUUUGGUCAGAUUUUUAAAAAUCUGAAAUAAAUUUGUAAAAUACAAAAAAUUGAUCUGAUUUUAUAAAAAUACAAAACUAAUAAUUAAUUUAUGCAAAUUGACCAACUUUUUAUGUAAAAAAGCCUAAAAUCUAUUAAAAUAGUCUUUUGGAAUUGAAUGGUUCUACUUGAUAGUUGAUACCACUCCUACAUUAUUAUUACCAACUACCAAGUGGUCCCAAAUUAAAUACAUUCCUAAUUACUACCAAUAUAUAUNUCAAACACCCUAUCUAUCCAUUAGGAUUAAUGCGUAGACCUUCCAACGUUUUAGAUUUUUUUCAAAUAACCACCUAAACUUUUAAUUUUAGUGACUAAAUCCUCGACACUUUAUCAAAUAAUUUAAUUGGCCCUUGCCCUUAAAGUGAACAUCUUAAUUCAACAGCCAUAUUGGUAGCAUAUUUUGUAAAUAAUAUAACAGUUUCCAAAAAAUGAAAAAAAAUAACUUUUACUUCAUUGAUAAAAAUAAGGAUUAAUUGCAUACAACUUCCUGUAAAUAUAUCGAAAGUAAAUAUAUCCUACAAAGUUCAGAACUUUUAAUUCUUAUCCCUACAAAAGUCCAGUAAUAUCAUAUUUGUCCCUCACGUUUGUUACCGUUAAAAAAAUAUUUAUUUUUUAACAGUAGAUAAGUGAAAUGUCAAUUUUGCCAUCAUAAAUAUAUUUCUCCAAAUGCCCCAAUUGCUAUAAUUGUGAAGAAAUAUCUUCUCAAAAAAUUUUCAAUGAUUAUAUUCUUCUUUUUUAAAAUCCAAUCUAAUCCAUCAUUAUUGCAACCUCUUCUCUCACACCUUUUCUCCUAAAUUUUUUCUUUUGAGCAAAAUAAGAAAAAAAAUCAUAAAGAAAUUGAAUGGAAAAACAACACGCGUUCAACAUGGAUGAAGCAACACUCGUCAUGAAUGAAUGAGAACAGAGAAAUUCUAGAUAUGAGUUCGAAACAAACAUGAAGUUGAGAGAUGUAGAGGAUGAAGUAAAAGAGUUUCCAUUGCCAGAGUUUUAAUUAAGAGAAGAAGGUAUUAUAUAAGAGGAGCAAAAAUGAUAAUUUAUCACAUUGACAAAACAAGACUAAGUAUUUUAUUUAUGGUUAACUAAAUUUUCUAACGGAUCGUAAUGGCAGAGGCAUAUUUUGAAAAUAUUAGGACUUGCAAGGAUAAUAUAAAAAGGUUGAACUUUAUAGGAAUAUUUGCAAUUUGCUAUAUUUACAUAGAGUUGCAUACAAUUAACCUUAAAAGCAAAGUAUAAAAAGUAAAGAAUAAGCCAAAUCUAUCUUCCAUUUGUAUCCUUUAUAAAAUAUUUGAAUGGAAAAAAAUAUGUUUUAAUGUCAUUGAAAUUGAAAAUAUGUUAUUUUAAUUAAUGUGUUUAGAAGCUUUACAAAAUCAUAUACAAGAUAUUUGUUGAGGAUGAGUGUUUAAGGGAAAAAAAAAUUAAAUUUGCAAGUCGUCUCGGCCAACCAGCAAAUACGUUUCAGUGUGCAAAAAGUCUAAAAUGCAGCUGUUAUAUUGUUAACGUAGCAUUUCCAACCAAUAAGAUUAUCCCCUUGAGUUGAUCUGUCCCAUCAUGAUUAAUAAAAAAAUAUUUUUAUUAUACUUUUCUCUCAAAAAGAAAGAUAUGAUUGUCUUGUUACGUGUGAUGUAAGUGUGACACAAUAAACUUUCUUCUUCGUUGGAGGGGUCCUCGCCAAAUCGGCGAGAAUAGCUCAACUCGAUUUACUCGGUAGCUUUCAUUGAGUAGAAGAGUGUUCAACUAUUUGAUAAAGUUUCGACACAGUUUUAAAACACUAUUUGUCAAAAGUUUGGCUUAAAUCUUACAUCCCAGCCUUCCAAAACGAGUCCAGCAUAUAUGCUUUUGUUAGCUUAGAGCUUUCCGUGAAAACUUUUUUUUUUUUUUUUUCCGAUGAUAGAACAUCUGAAUCGACGAUUUAUUUUGUUUGACCUAAUCUUCGCUAUUGAAAGUUUUUACAAAUCAACGACUACAUUUUUUCAACAUUAUUUGAUUACAGAACGAAUAGUCUCGAGAUGAACAACUAAAAAGUAAAAAUAAAAAUAUCACGAAAAAAUAAUAAAAUAUUUGAAUUUCAGAGCUAAAUUUUUAUCAUUACUUAAAUAAUAUUAAAAAAAUAUAAAAUUCAGUUAAAUACUUUAAUAAUAUAGAUUAUAUCUAUCGACACAAAUCAUUAAUUUGGAUAUUCCAUCGUUGAAACCAAAAGUAUAUUAGCUGCACCAUAAAAAAAAAUAAGUUGUAAUAACUAAUAAGAAAAGUGCAAUAAACUUGAUCAUAAAAUAUAAAAUUANAAAUAUAUCGAAAGUAAAUAUAUCCUACAAAGUUCAGAACUUUUAAUUCUUAUCCCUACAAAAGUCCAGUAAUAUCAUAUUUGUCCCUCAGGUUUGUUACCGUUAAAAAAAUGUUUAUUUUUUAACAGUAGAUAAGUGAAUUGUCAAUUUUGCCAUCAUAAAUAUAUUUCUUCAAAUGCCCUAAUUGCUAUAAUCGUGAAGAAAUAUCUUCCCAAAAAAUUUUCAAUGAUCAUAUUCUUCUUUUUUAAAAUCCAAUCUAAUCCACCAUUAUUGCAACCUCUUCUCUCACACCUUUUUUCCUAAAUUUUUCCUUUUGAGCAAAAUAAGAAAAAAAAUCAUAAAGAAAUUGAAUGGAAAAACAACACGCGUUCAACAUGGGUGAAGCAACACUCGUCAUGAAUGAAUGAGAACAGAGAUAUUCUAGUUAUGAGUUCGAAACAAGCAUGAAGUUGAGAGAUGUAGAGGAUGAAGUAAAAGAGUUUCCAUUGCCAGAGUUUUGAUUAAGAGAAGAAGAUAUUAUAUAAGAGGAGCAAAAAUGAUAAUUUAUCACAUUGACUAAACAAGACUAAGUAUUUUAUUUAUGGUUAACUAAAUUUUCUAACGGAUCGUAAUGGCAGAGGCAUAUUUUGAAAAUAUUAGGACUUGCAAGGAUAAUAUAAAAAGGAUGAACUUUAUAGGAAUAUUUGCAAUUUGCUAUAUUUAUAUAGAGUUGCAUACAAUUAACCCUAAAAGUAAAGUAUAAAAAGUAAAGAAUAAGCCAAAUCUAUCUUCCAUUUGUAUCUUUUUUAAAAUAUUUGAAUGGAAAAAAAUAUGUUUUAAUGUCAUUGAAAUUGAAAAGAUGUUAUUUUAAUUAAUGUGUUUAGAAGCUUUACAAAAUCAUAUACAAGAUAUUUGUUGAGGAUGAGUGUUUAAGGGAAAAAAAAACUAAAUUUGCAAGUCGUCUUGCCCAACCAGCAAAUACGCUUCAGUGUGAAAAAAGUCUAAAAUGCACAUAUUGUUGACGUAGCAUUUCCAACCAAUAAAAUUAUCCCCUUGAGUUGAUCCGUCCCAUCAUGAUUAAUAGAAAAAUAUUUUUAUUAUACUUUUCUCUCAAAAAGAAAGAUAUGAUUGUCUUGUUACUUGUGAUGUAAGUGUGACACAGUAAACUUUCUUCUUCGUUGGAGGGGUCCUCGCCAAAUCGGCGAGAAUAGCUCAACUCGAUUUAAUCGGUAGCUUUCAUUGAGUAGAAGAGUGUGUUCAACUAUUUGAUAAAGUUUCGACACAGUUUUAAAACACUAUUUGUCAAAAGUUGGGCUUAAAUCUUACAUCCAAGCCUUCCAAAAUGAGUCCAGCAAAUAUGCUUUUGUUAGGAUAGAGCUCUACGUGAAAACUAUUUUUUUAUCCGAUAAUAGAACAUCUAAAUCGACGAUUUAUUUUAUUUGACCUAAUCUUCGCUAUUGGAAGUAUUUGCAAAUCAACGACUAUAUUUUUUCGACAUUAUUUGAUUACAGAACGAAUAGUCUCGAGAUGAACAACUAAAAAAUAAAAAUAAAAAUAUCACUAAAAAUUAAUAAAAUAUUUGAAUUUCAGAUCAGAGCUAAAUUUUUAUCAUUACUUAAAUAAUAUUAAAAAAUAUAAAAUUUAGUUAAAUACUUCUAAUAAUAUAGAUCAUAUCUAUCGGCGCAAAUCAUUAAUUUGGAUAUUCCAUCAUUGAAAACAAAAGAAUAUUAGCUGCACUGUAAAAAAAAAACAAUAAGUUGUAAUAACUAAUAAGAAAAGUGCAAAAUACUUGAUCCUCGUAUAGAUAAAAUAUUAAAUUAGUAAUAAUAUAAAAAAUUUAUACGAACUAUGAAUCAUUUCGAACCAGUUGCCUAACUUUUUUAUAUUUUCAUUUUUACUACCCAACUUUCUAAUUUGUUCGAUUUGAAUCAGUCGACAGCACUUUGACUUUAAAUUUUAAAUUUAUUAGCUUAAAUUUUAAAGCCCAAGUGCUGCGGACCGAAUCAAAUCAAACAAAUUAAAAAAUUGGAUGGUAAAAUUAAAAUCUUGAGAGAUGGAAGACCCGAUUCAAAAUAAUUCAUAAUUUUAAAAAAAAUUAUAUAUUUAUAUGGUAUAGAAUUUACACUCGCCUUUGAGCGUACAUGCGGCAGUGCUAUUGUCAAAGCUGUAGAGAGACGAGGAGUCUCCGUAGACUUUGCAAAAGAAAAGAAACGAAGCGAAAAAAAAAAAGGUUAAUUUCACAUAAGUCCCUAUAAAUAUAACAAAUUACAACUGUAUUUCUAUAAAGUUAGUUUUUAUAUAACGGCAGGAAUAACAUAUAAUAAUUGAACCAUAUAGGAUUUAUUUUUAAUUCACUGUGUUUGUAGGGAUCUAUAUGAAAUUAAUCCAAAAAAAAAAGAGUCGUGCUACCCAUACACCCCAUUUAGAGUUGUAGAUCCUACAACUCCUUGAUCCAACGGCUGAUAUAAACUUGGUUUAAAAAAAAAANAAAAAAAAAUAAGUUGUAAUAACUAAUAAGAAAAGUGCAAUAAACUUGAUCAUAAAAUAUAAAAUUAGUAAUAAUAUAAAAAAUUUUUACGAACUAUGAAUCAUUUAGAACCAGUUGCCUAACUUUUUAAUAUUUUCAUUUUUACUACCCAACUUUCUAAUUUGUUUGAUUCGAAUCAGUCGACAGCAUUUUGACUUUAAAUUUUAAAUUUAUUAGCUUAAAUUUUAAAGCCCAAGUGCUGCGGACCGAAUCAAAUUAAACAAAUUAAAAAAUUAGAUGGUAAAAUUAAAAUCUUGAGAGAUGGAAGAUGCGAUUCAAAAUAAUUCAUAAUUUUAAAAAAAUUUAUAGAUUUAUAUGGUAUAGAAUUUACACUGGCCUUUGAGCGUACAUGCGGCAGUGCUAUUGUCAAAGCUGUAGAGAGACGAGGAGUCUCCGUAGACUUUGCAAAAGAAAAGAAACGAAGAGGAAAAAAAAAAAAAGAUUAAUUUCACAUAAGUCCCUAUAAAUAUAACAAAUUACAAGUUUAUUACUAUAAAAUUUAAUUUUUAUAUAAUAACAGAAAUAUAUUUGAAAAUAUUAGAACUUUUAUAAAAAUAAUAUAUAAAUAUUGAACCAUAUAAGAUAUAUUUAUAAUUUACUAUAUUUAUAGAGACUUUUAAUGAAAUUAAUCCAAAAAAAAAAAAAAAGAAGAAAAGCUUAAAAUAAAGUUUAAUAGGGGUCUAUUUCGGAAUUACCUUUAGUUAAGGGAGUCUAACAUUUCCACUAAUCUAAUGCCAUAAUGCGAAAUCUGCAUCAUUUAUUAUUCUGCGACCCACCGAGUGUACCAUCUCCUCGUCCUCCUAUACACGUCGUGAUCGGCGACGACGACGACGACUACGACGAGGGCGAUGCGGAGCGGGGCGUCGCCGCGCCACGGCCGGAACCCUAGCUCCGGGAGUCGCCGGAGCUACGCGAGCUCGGAGCUCUCCGCCGCCUCCUCGUCUUCGUCGGCGGCGAGCCGGAACCCGGUGAGGAUCGCCGCCGCCGCGCUCCGAUCCUGCUUCAGCUCGCCGGAGUCGAUGUCUCCCGACGACUCCUUCGCCGACGACCCCGCCCGCACUCCUGCUCACCGUACGAUUCUUAAUUUUCCCCCUUUUUUGGAUUUUUCCUCAUAUAUGUAUAUACCCUAUAUCUUAUUAUCGAUCUAUGGGGCCGCGACAAAGAACAGGAUAGAGACAUAAGAAGCAUAGGGGUGGUGUUGUGUACUUUGUUAGCUUUUGUACUUUUUGGGAAUCGGAUCUGAUGGAAAUUGAAGUUUGGUUGGGAGAGAAUGGGCGUUUUCUUUUUUAAAAUUAGUUUUUUUUAUUCCGGAAAUUUAAAAAUGGUGUUUUUUUUUUUCUGAUAAUCUGGUUUUAUUAUUUUUUAUGGGUAAAUGGAAUUUUAAAUUUACAUGGAACUUUUGAAAAGGAACGAUCAAUUUUUGUCGCAUCUCUCUCUCUCUCUCUCUAUAUAUAUAUAUAUAUUGGUUUAUUGCAAAAUCGUACUGUUCACAUGAUUUUAUGUCUUUUUAAACAUUAAUUUUUAAUUUUGAAAUUUCUUCUAUUUUUUUCGUUAAAGAAUUUGGUUUUAUGUGCUGUUGAAAUGUUCUUUUUCAAUUAAUAGGGAUUUUGGAUUUUAUGGAGAGAAAAAGCUGUGGAUAUAGUUAAUUCUCGGCUGGUAGUUGCAAAUAGAAAUUCUUACAAAUCCUGCAGCUUUGUAGCUUGAAAAAUGCAUAAUACCCUAACUAAUGAAGGAACCCUUCUGAUUUUUUUUUUUUUUUUUUUACUUGAAUUGAAUAAUGUAAAUGAAAAUAAUUACCAUCGAUUUAAUUUCCAUGUUCUGAUCAAUGUCUUGAUAGUCACACCAUCUACUAGAAGUGGUUCUAGUAGUGGUGGAAGUACUUUCGGAAGUGCGAAGCAAAAAUGGGGUAAGGGAUUGUACAGCGGCGGAUACGCCAAUUCUCCUAAGAGAGGGGAGCCCGGAGGUACGAAGUUCACCAUGGCGGAGAUCCAAAAGGCGACCAAGAACUUCAAUCCGACGUUGAAGAUCGGGCAGGGUGGGUCGGGCAUGGUCUACAAGGGCCAGCUUGAUGAUGGCACUCUCGUCGCCGUCAAGCGUGCAAAGAAGGUUAGAUCGCAACGUCUUAUCUAGCGAUUGAUGUUUCGACCAGCAUCUGAAACAUCAGCCAAAAGUAAAAGCUCUAAUAUGAAGAUUUUGCUGUCUCUACUACAAUGAGAACUUCAUAACGAAAUUGUACUUAAAGAUCAUAACUGCAGAAGCCGGCCCCCAAAAGUUGUUUUUGAAAUCAGAAGUCGAGACUAGCGCUUAAUCAUCUUGCUGUGGUUCUUUUCAGAAUGUGUACGAUUCCCAUAUGAGUCUUGAAUUCCAGAACGAGAUUCAAACUCUGCAGCGCAUCGAGCAUCUGAAUUUGGUUAGGUUCCAUGGGUACUUGGAGCAUGAAGGGGAGAAGAUAAUUGUCGUCGAGUAUGUUCCUAACGGGAAUCUUCGAGAGCACCUUGAUUGUAUGUGUACUACUAUGCCUCCUUUUUCUACUGUACUGUUAAUAGAGAUUGGAAUAUGGUAUUACACAACUAUAUAGAAUUGUGUAAAUCUGAAGAUAAUUGUAUAAUUUUCGAGAAAUGCAAUGUACUGUUGCUGAGAGGAGCUCAUUUUAUGCAGGUCUGCAUGGAAAGCCUCUGGACUUAGCUACACGGCUAGAUAUCGCGAUCGAUGUGGCUCAUGCUGUUACUUAUCUGCACAUGUACUCAGGUGUGCCCAAAAUUCUUCUAAGCUAUGUUUAGAGGUUUGCGCAACUUAAAAAUUUCUAGUUGAUUGAUUGAGAACGGUACAAUAUGGUUUGUGCAUCCACUUCUAGCAGAGCAUGGCUUUGAAAUAAAUUUCGGAGUACUUCGAUCUCAGUUUCUUUUGCCCCCUUGGAAGAUAUUUGUGGUUGAAAUCAAAACUUUCUUAAUGGUUUAAAAUAAUUGCUUGCUCAGUAAUCAGUAUUCAUGCAUAAUGCAUUAAAAAAAGAAACACCAUUUUGGAUGAAUCUGAAUAAUAAUAUGACAUAAUCAUAGUUUUGGAAAUUUGAAUCUCCUUUUGUCUUCCGAAUUCUGUUGUUGGAAAAGGAAUCGACUCCCUCGAAAUGCAUGUACUUAAUUUCCAGGUAACAUUUGCUGAUUGUGUAAUUGAUUUUUAUUCUGCAGAUCAUCCUGUAAUUCAUAGAGAUAUCAAAUCCUCAAACAUCCUCCUCACAGAUAAUCUUCGUGCUAAGGUUGCCGAUUUUGGGUUCGCGAAGCUUGCUCCGACUGAGGCCGACGUGACCCAUGUUUCCACCCAAGUUAAAGGGACUGCGGGCUAUCUUGAUCCUGAGUAUCUAAGAACGUAUCAACUCACCGAGAAGAGUGAUGUCUACUCCUUUGGUGUUCUGCUUGUGGAAUUAGUAUCUGGGAGGCGCCCUAUCGAACCGAAAAGGGAGUUGAACGAACGCAUUACAGCAAAAUGGGUAAUUAACUUCCUUUGUUAUGGCCUUUUUCAGAAAAUUCUACAAAGUAGGUAGACUAUAUAUAUACAAAAGAUAGUUAAGCAUAAAGUAAUGUUUUGGGGGUCAUAUAAACAAUUUAGUAAAUCUUUCAAAAACAUUACUAGAAUUUGUAACUUUUCAGUCUAAUGCGCGUAAAUUUCAAGUGUGAGGGCUUCAGUAUUCUGAAAGGUUUCUGUGUAGGAAUGUCAUUUGUGAGGUGCAUCUCCUAAGUAUCAAGUAGUCCGAAACAUCAAUCUCUCGCUAUACCUAAUCAAACUCUAUUAAAUUUUACAGGCGAUGAGGAAAUUCACCGAAGGGAAAGCAAUAGAAACGCUGGACCCGAAUCUUUCGCCGAGCCCAGAAAACUAUUUGGCGGUCGAGAAGAUCUACGAGCUGACUUUACGAUGCCUAGCUCCGACGAGAAACAGCAGGCCCAGUAUGAGGAGAAGCGCCGAAAUUCUAUGGAGCAUAAGGAGAGACUAUAGGGAGAUGUUUCCCCUUGACUCCCUCUCCUCGCCGAAAAGUCAUCAGAGGAACCCUUCAGCAAAAUCACAUUAAUAAAAAACAAGAGCUUGCUAUGUGAUGGUUGAAUGAGUAGUUGUCCCAAGUCUGUGGUGCAUUGGAGAAACUUUCCUGUGUGUUUGUUGUGUGAGAUUUAGUUUUGGUAAUUCAUGGCCUCAUAGUCUUGUUUGUUUUGUUAAGAAAAAUAUGUGCAAGAAAUGAAUAAUGUAUACUAAUUUUAUGUAUAAUGAUUGUUUAGUGCCCUCAUUCUUUGUAAAUUUAUUGGUGCCUGUACUGUCUAAGGAGAAAUGAAUGAUUAGAGAAGAUAUUUGACUAUGAACAGCUUCUGUGAAUGAGCAUAUUGUUUGUUCAUGAUAAUACUUGAAAAGUUGUAAGAAUUAUCUGGAGCAAUGGAAACAAAUCUCUUGAUAACAUAAGCUGCAAAAAAUUGGAAAAUAAGAAGCUUCAAUAUUGGAUAUUUGCUUUUCCUGUUCACAAGCCAAUUUUAUCUUUCAACUACGGCAAAAAGGAAAGGGGUGUUUUACAUGCCAUAGUAUAUUAUAAAACCUAAUUAUUUGUCAAGUACAUGAAAAUUGGAAUGCAUUUCUUUUCUAUUUAAAAGGUAAAUGUAUCAUCCAUUUAUAAACCAACCAGAAUCAGAACCAUAAAAUGUUUGAUAUGCUGAGGUAAUAAACUGUAAGGAAUUCAACCAUUCAAAAGUACUAUAAUCCAUACAGUACAUAGCUUUCUUUUUCAUUAUUUUUUUUAAAAAAAAUUCAAACAACAGGCAAUUGAUAUGUACAAAUAACCGAAGAAAAUCUUUCGCUACAAUACAUGCUUUAAUUCUUCUCAUUUUCACAAAUUUACUUUCUCAACAAUGACUACAGAAACACCCUAUAAUUCAUAUAAUAGUCCACGAUACAAUGCCACUAACAACACAUGAAUAGUGCGUGCUAUAAACUUUUGAACUCUCGGAUCCACGCUGGUAGAACCACAGAGUAGUAAACCUCGGACAUCUGAGAGUUACAAAGUUGAUAGCAUACACUAUUCAUGUGCUAUUAGAAGCAUUCUAAGUAGACCAUUCUUUUCCUGCAUCUUGAUAUGUACAAUUGCUGCAAGAUGCAGCCCUAAGAAAAGCACAGAACAAAUUGCAGCUCGACUUCUUUGCCGAGCAGGCUCUGCGUAUUAUUAAGGCAAUACCUUUACCGAUGCUUUUGUUUGUAACAUCUACAUCAUUUUUAGCAUCGAAUGGAUUAGCUUGCCAUAAUAAUAGUAUAAGAACUCAAAUUAAGAUAACUUCUUUCGUACGUAUACGUAUUAAAUUUCUCUCGAUUCUGAUCUCGGUGAGGAGUCCUCCUGGGCCAACUCGUAGCUGGGCACUUGACUGUCAUUCCUUCGAUUUGUGCGAGUUGAGCACAAGAAAAAGAACGACGACGUGUAGAUGGUGAUGUGCCAUAAGCUGCAGCAAAAAGAAGAACCUCACUAGCUGUUAAAAUUAUCUAAGGAAAUAUCAAUAUCAAGUAACUUUUUAAGCUACAAUAACAGGAGUUAACAAACUUAUGUCUAUGAUUGAAACAUCUUAUUAGGCUUUAAGCUCUCUCUCCACUGGUAGUUUUGGUGUAACCAACAAAAUGUUGCUCUCAACAAAUGAAAGUAACUGACCGUCCCUAGAGCAAGUGACAAAGGGCUUGGUGGUUGGUACCCGAGACCCAAGUUCGAAUCCUAGUUGAUUCACAUUUCCAGCUAAAUUUAUUUCUAAAUGAAAUAAAUGAAGCGGGUAGCGUGCUACCUAUCUCUCAAAAAAAAAAAAAAAAAAACAAAUGAAAGUAAAGAAGUGAAACAGAAAAGAACUUUUUUUUUUUUUUGAUGAAUUAGAUAAAGGAAAAAUGACUUACAAAGAAGGGGAAUUGCUUAUAUACCCCAGGAAAGCCUCCGACUUUUAUAUUUACCCCUCUUAGAAGGCUAAUAUUAAAAAUAAAUUUUUAAGGUUCCAAGUUCUUUCAAAUAUACCCCUAAAGUUAAAUUCUGUUAGUGAAUUAUUAGGAACAAAUGUUAUCUCUGUGAAAUUACUAUUUUGCGUUUUCAAAUAUACUCUUCUAGCGUCACCAACUUUUCUUAUUUGCCCUUAUGUAAGGGGCAAAAGAAAUAUUUUGACUUUUAGCCUUUUCAAAUAUACCCUUCUACUGUCACCAACUUUUCUUAUUUACCCUUAUGUAAGGGGCAAAAGAAGUAUUUUGACUUUUAGCCUUUUCAAAUAUACCCUUCUACCGUCAUCAACUUUUCUUAUUUGCCCUUAAGUUAUGAACAAAAGAAGUAUUUUGACUUUUUACCUUUUUAAAUAUACCCUUCUACCGUCACCAACUUUUUUUAUUUGCUCUUAAGUUAUGGGCAAAAUAAAUAUUUUCACUAUUUUUUAACUAUGGUUGAAAUUUAACUCAGGUUUAAUCAGAGAUAAUUUAACGGGCACUAACAGCGAGGAUAUUUUUGAAUAACAGAGAAAUAUACUAGAGGUAUAUUUGAAAUAAAAAAAAAGGGAUAAAUAAGAUAUUUCAAAAGUUUUGAGGGGUAUAUAAGCAAUUAUCUCUACAAAAAAAAUAAAGCCGGUUGAGAAAACCACGUCUCUAAUAAUAAAGAAACACUAAAAUUUCAAGUAAAGAUGAUUAAUUAGAUAAAAACCUCAAAAAUCAAACAUUUAAUAUAAAAAAAUAAUCCAAUACUUAACAUUAAUAGUGUAUUAAUAGUGUUAAAAUAAUUAUCAGCUGUAAAAUUAGAGAACAUCAUUAAAACUGCAAUAGGGUAAAAUAGGUAUUUAAAUUUUGUACAGUUAGUUUUGGAUGGAUCAUCACGCAUAAUAGUAUUUGUGAAGAUUACAUGUAUUUAGGAGGGCAUUGAACAAUAUUUUUACUUUCAAAGGGGUAUUAUUAAUGAAAUUUCAGGCUGUGAAAGGGUAUCUAUGAAAUUAAUACUGUGUAAUAGAUAAUUUAACGGUAUAAUAUAUAUAUAUAUAUAUAGGUCUUCAUACUCAUAAUCAUUUUCGAUGAUAGAUCGUCCGAAUAGAUAAUCCAUACCGUUAAAUAUGAUUUAAAGCAUUUAAACAUUUAGAAACCAAAUUUCAUAAUUUUUCGACAUCAUAUACCUUAUGAUCAAAGGGUUUCAAAAUCGACUUUUUUAACGGCUAGUAUAGGGCAUUUUCUAGUUAACGGCGUAGAAGAAUUGAAAAAAAAAAUUGAACUUUUAAUAGAAAAUUCUAUUCACUAUAUAGAUCAAGAUCAAUAACUACAAUUUUAAAUUUAAGAACCCUAUCCCUUAUUUUUAGGAGAUGGUUUGGUUUUGACGGUUCAUUUUCUACCCACUUGAUGGACUUCAUUAUAAAUUCGAAAAAUUACGAAAUUCAAUUUCAUGAUACUUCAAAUGCUCUUAAAUCAUAUUUAACGGUAUGAAUUUUUGAUUUGGAAACUCCAUCAUAAAAAACGACUAAGUAUGAAGGUCUCCAUACUCAUAAGAGUAUAGUAGCCCAUAUAUAUACAUAUAAAGCUCACUCGGAAUACUAUCGAUAGAAAAUAAAUAGUGUUUACUAUCAACUUUCUAGCCUUUGGAUCAAUACUAUUCCACCUACUACCACAAAACCCUAUCAUCCAAGGGCUAAAAAGUAGAUGGUAAACACUACUCUUUUACUACCAAAAGUGUUCUAGCUUCGUUCUCUCUCUCUCUCUCUACAUAUAUAUAUAUAGAGAGAGAGAGAGAAAGAAAGAGAGUUGAAUCCUCCCCAUCCUCCCCAUCACACCAUGCAUCAGAUUCUCGUUUAGCUAUGCCACAAUCUAAGGGAUCAGUUAUUAUUUAUUGCAAUCAACUAUGAUACCCUACUUUCUAGGAAAGUCAUCCAUCCUAGAACUACUCUAAUCCUAAGCUCGCUUAACCAUCUUAAUCUCUUGGGCCUAGCCACCGCCCAAAAUGCUAUAGCUAGAAUAAGUAGUCAAUUCUCUUAACCUCUUGGGUCUAGCUACCGUCCAAAAUACUAUAGCCAGAAUAAGAAGCCAUACUAUACGUUAUAUAUAGGACAAUUUUAUAUCCUGGGAAUGCCACAUUUCCCGCCCCUUUAAGUCCUGACGCCCUCGUCAGGCUCAAGUACACUCAAAAGCACCAAGCGAUGUAAGACUCGUCUCACUAGUCUGAGCCGAUCUUGUGGAGAGUCGCGCUUCACCCACAGCAGUCGUUAGCCGAGGAGCCACACUCACAAGCACCAAACAAUAUGAGACUUGUCUCACUAGUCUGAGUUGAUCUUGUGGGGAGUCACGCUUCCCUCCACAACAGUCGUUAGCCGAGGAGCCACACUCUGCUUGUUGUAUGACUCUUAGCUCAACUGAAACUCAUCUCACACUUCCGACUAGUAAUUGAUUCUAAUACCAACGUGAUGCCACAGAAGAUGUAAAGCACAAAUGAAAAGCAGUCUCGUACCUAUGCCAAAUCCAAUAGUUAGCAUUAGUUUCCAAUUUCCAGCAUGUUCCAGCCAAAGCCAGUGUAACAAACCCCAAAAGUAAAUAGUGCCAACGGAAUCUUUUCUUCACUACUUUUAUAAGAUUUGAGAACAUGCUUCUGAUGCUUUGCCAGCUGCAACAGAACCGGAUUAACCAGAUCAAAAGUUGAAUCUACUUAAUUAUUAGAGCUAAACGAAAUGUUCGAAUUAAAAGAAAAUGCUAUAGAAUAGAGUUGAUAAUGGAGAGAGAUUUUUGAGGAGCUUACCUUCGGGAAACAUUAAAGUCAAUUCUUCGUGAAAAAUACCUGAAUCUUAGAGCUGUAGAGAAUUCUACUAACCAUCCAAUAAAAAGACCAAGAGAACCAAUCGCUAUCACUAUACCAAUGUUCGAAGACCUGAAAAAAUAACCUUUUUGCAUUUAAGAAAUAAUAAUAACUAAUUAUAGACCAUUUAGAGAAUUUUCUAUAGAAUACAGUUACCUGGUUGCACCAGUCGCAGCAAGAAGAGCAGUGAGAAUAAACACAGCUGUGUGGAUUGCUCGCUUUGAGGCCUCAUCAAUGGUAGCCAUGUAUAUAAAAGUGCUUACGACAGCCAUAAAAGAAAGCCAAAAGUCCAUAAACUGAAAGAAAUUGCAGAUCGAUUCUCAUCAAUAAUGAUAGCAAUAGUGUAUAUAUCGGGUUUGAGUGAAUCUGGUAAUAUCAUUGGAUUAUUAAUAUUGCAUUCACUAAAGAAACAACUUUGUUUCUUUCUGACAAGAACUGCGAAUUACUCGAUCAUCAUAAGAAAAGUACCUGUAGUACAUGGAAAGACAAGAUACACCAAGUGCCGACAUCACAUGCAUGAUACAAACCGCUUGAAAUUCCACUGGAUGUGUAAAGAACCCAUUCAGCAAAUGCCUAAGAAAGGGGGAAAAAAAAAGUGUGUUAGCAUAACAUAAAUCCUUCAGUGAAGAGGGACCUUAUGAUUUGAAAAGAAAGAAACCACAACUAUUAAGGAAAUGUUAUUCCAAGAUUCACAGCGCUAAAAUAUGAAAUAAUCACAACAGAAACAAACAUCCAUUAGAAAAAUGAAUACCCACCAAAACUGACGAUUAGUUUCUUGUCAACAUCUAUGUUAGCCCCACCUUAUAAUCUCCUUUUACCAUCUAUUCCAAUGAAGAGCAAACUUUAUUGUACACAAUUACACAAUAAAUUUCCAACGGAUGUGUUAAGUGGUAAAACACUUCGAACAAGUCUUCCAGGUACGUAUUUGUUGGUGAGACGACACAAGAUAACAUCUAUACUCAUUCAUCAUACGGUAAGGUUAUAUACAUAAAUUUUGACCUAUUCUUCAUUCUUUGCACAACGGAAACAGAAAAGAAAGUCUUUCACAAAUACUACAUUCUUUUCUCCAAUUCCUGAUACAAAUACCUAAAACUUGCAGAAAAGAACUGUUCUCUUUUUUAUAUGCAUCCAACAGGAGAGUUACUCUACCACACAGAAAUAAACAAACAAUCACAUUUCUUAACUUUUUAACAACCUUUUGAUGUCAUAAUUCUAUGUCCUUGAGUUUUUCGAAUUUACCGACGCAAAGAGUAUCAUGCAAAGGCAUUCAAGAAGCACAAUAUGAUUGAGCCUAGUAUGGAGAGUAGAAGGCAAAAGGAGUUUUUGUUCCCAUCAAUGAGAAGAAAAUAUGAAGCUUGCUUAAUAAGAUAUUGACAUUUAAUACAACAACCUAAUGAAAUAUUUCCAGAUUAAUUUGAAGCUUAGACAGCCUUUAGAGGGUUUCAUGAUAAAUCCUAUGCUAAGUCAUGGAAAAAAAACAAGCCUAAAUAGGAUUUGAUAGAAAGUUGUGUACAUCAUGAUUUAGUUAUUAAUGUUACUUGCCAUUCAAAAUUUAAGAACAAAAUUAUAUUGGCACUAAUUAUUACAUUACCAACUAAAAUAUCACUUGUUUCAGUCUGAUCAAAAUGAUUAUCAUCAGUUGGUAUAACCACAAAUCACGACAUUACUAAAGGAAACUAACCUUUUGCCGUAGGGCCCAGAAUGCAGGUAAAAUAGCCGCAGCAUUCGAGGCAAUUAGAAAGAUUGACUGCCAUACAUGCCCUAGAUUUGAGAUGGACACCAAAAUUAACAGAGAAACUCAUAUAGAAUAAUGAAACUAGCUAAACCAACGGAAAUGGGUCAUAAAUCAUGAAAAUGUACUUCCUGAUUUUCUAAAAUAAUAAUCCAUAUGCAGUGAGGAACUUACUAUGUAUUAAUUAUAAUUCUUUACUCUUCCAUAAUGAAAACAUAAAGAGUUAAUUUUUUUCUCUUUUUAUUGUCAGUUGGAUCAUUAUUUAGAUGAAACUAGGCCUAUACCUCCACCAGUGAGUUUUGUAUCCAGUUUCUAACUCUGUUAUCGUGUGUUUAGCUAUCCGACCAAGUACCAAUAAUAAGACACCUCUUUCUUGUUUUUUAGAAAGAGGAAUUUGGCACCUUAGAAGACAAGGAUGUAAUACAUUAUAAUUAUUUCAACCCUGUUUUCACAGAUAAUUUUUUGACGAGAGUCAACGAACUCAGUGGCUGAAGCAUUUAGAAAACCAGAGACGUGUAAGAAGAAAAAAAUUAAAAUAAGAUAAAAAAGGUCCAUCCAUUGCCACCAUAGGAGAUCACUAGCAGUAUUCAUGUGUCUAUCGGAGUACCUAAAUUCUUAAAACUGAAGUAAAUACCUCGAUUUCCAUGGUUUAAACAACUUCAAACCAUUGUACUGCAGGAAGAUUUGCUUGUUUUAAGUUUUCAAGGAUAAAAGAAGAACAGUUCUAGACCUUCACUAAAGCUUGUACCACGGUAGUCAACGAGAAGUUUAGGCGCACAUGACUAUAUUUAUGGUGUCUAUAUCAAUAAUUAAUCUUAAUCUAGGAAAGAUGAAAAAGAGCACAAUAUUGCAUAAAGUGAUCCAUAAAAAAAUAUCUCCACAAAUUAAAGGAAGAAACAAACCCAAAUCAGUUUUAUCUGAUGAAAUGUAAUUACCUUUAUGUGUUACGAGUUCAUUGCUGCAAUCAAAGCCUCCAUGAUCACGAUUACAGGCGCAGUAGCUGGGAGCAAAGAAAGAAUAUUUUCUCACAUAAUUUAUUACAUGAAUCAUUUGUGUCAUAAUGAUUUCCUACUUCUAAAAGUUUAUUGUAUGCCAUAAAGAAAAAUAAUAAGAUUCAGGAUUAACCUGUAGAAUGUCAACCCACUCUCAUCCACUGAAUAACGGCAUUGGCCGUUAUAAUUACAACCUUUAUGGCAACCCUCGAGUGAAAUAGACAUGGAAGUUUGGGAACUAUGACCAUUAGGAGGAUGCUUCAGUCCAAAGCCCCAAGUUCCUUCCCUAGCAUACAAAAUAUAAAAAUCUAUGCUUCCGCCCUUUGAAUCGUUUAGUGCUAAAAAAGCUGUGUUAUUGCUACUAUUACUGCUGCUUGAAUAAUAAUCCCACGUUUCAUUCGAUGGCAAGCCACCAAAUUUUGAGUACAAUUCAUAAUUCGUUAUUACAUCCGAUUUGAACUGAAUGUGUAGAAAGGCUCCUGCCGCGCCUUGCGGUACAUCCAGGAAGAAGUAGGUCCAUGCAGAUAGCUGAAUGGAGGAAUUGCUUAAGAGGGGCUCCAAGAUGAAAUGGAAGGAACCCACGGAUGAAAGUCCAUCAGAUGGAAGAAAAUAAGACUCAUAAGGAACAGCUGGACCCCGUUUGGGAAUUCUCUGUGGGAAUAAUCAUGAGGAAGUUAACAACAUUCUCCUACAUAAAAGUCUUUACAGACAGAAAAAAUCCUAUUACAAAAUUUGUCUUAUAAACUAUUACAAAAUAUUAUCUUAUGUACUUUUGAUUUCUAACAAGCCAUUAUAUAGCAAGUUAAAACUAUCAGUACAACAGCACACAGGGCUCAGAAGUAAAAUCAGAAUCCAACUUUAAUACGCUUCCCAUGUAUUAUAAUUUACCAAUGGCACUACAAGAGGAAACAACCUGUCAACAAAAAUAUCACGGAGACAAAGCGGAAAGCAUUUUCUUGAAAAUAACAGUAACAGUAUCAAAUGCUUAAACACACCAUUUCCACCUAAAACUUUUUUCUUUCACAUCCCAUAAAUAUGCACACAUACUCCACUAUAGAGCUUCUAAGUGGGAUGUAUAUGGGUGUGUGCGGACAUAUGUGUAAGAAAAGAUUAAAAUGAGAAUGAGAAAAAUGGGAGCAUGGGACAGGUAUCUUUUAGAAAACUACUUAUGCAGGCAUUGAGAAAUCACUACACAUUGUAGUGAGAAACAAAUCACAUCUAGAUCAUAUUAUGUCACAUACAACAGGUUUAAUAUGCAACCUAAGAAAACAAAUGAAUUAAUAUUCAAAUGGAGAAAACUUUAGUCUCAUUUGUGCCAUUAGCUACAUAUUUAAGUAUGCAGAAGUUGCUAUAAACACAAAAAUAAGCAACCUAGUAGUUUGAGGCUCCCUCUCGCUGAAGUUUUGGCAAGGAUUCUUUUUACACAUGCACAGGUAGCAUGCAAUAUCUGAACCAUAUCGCCUAAAAAUUCAAAUUCAUGAUAAGGGGCGUAGAAGUUCUCUAAGUUCUUGGACAAGUAAAGACAAUUUAGUUAUGUCAAAGAAUAACAGAACAAUACAAUUUUGCUAAAAGAAAAGGCAACUUCACCAAUUUGGCGCUAUUAUUUACAAUAUAGUAGAUAAGUGUAAUUUGAUACCUCAGCUACCUCCCAGUACAGGAGAUACUACUCAAAAGGCUAAAUAUAUACUGAGGAUGCUCCUUAAAAGCAUGUCACUUAAAAAAGUCUUAUAGCUUAUCGUUUAAGCAUCUAGUUUGAAAAGUAUGUGAUGCAUAGCCUCUAACAAAUCCUAAUGAUUUGAAAUCAAUUAGGAAGGUGCAUUAUUCCAACAUGCUUUGUCCAAGUUUCGUUUUCCAGCGUUAGCUGACCAACCAUAGAAAAAACUUAUACUAGAAUAAACAAGUUUUGAUAUAUCAAACAACACUAAUAUAAAAUAAUACACGUAAAAAAAUAGCAUCUCCUGCAGUCACAGAAACAAGUAACCACUGUUAAUUACCUGAAGAAUGUAAGAUUCCCAAGAACAAUUGGUUCCAGCUUUUCCGUAGCACUCAGUUACUUGCCAAUCCAAAGAGAAACAGAAAUUAAGCCCAUUCACGACUGUCUGGUUGACAGCCUCGACAGCAAUGUACCAUCGCCCAAUCUUUGGCGACCUUAUAAUCAAUGGGGCCAUACUUAUAUCACCGGAAUAAUCAUGUAAAGUGAGAAGUGGCAUUGCAUUGUAGCGGACAUAACACAUUAGGAGAACCCCACUCGAAUUACCUAGGUCACUCAAGGAUGAAAUUGUAAACUGGGAGGCUACAUUAAUUACAUCCAAGAAGUAAAACUUUUGCUCCCCUAGACCAAUACAUGAUGUCUCAUUCAAAUUAUUACACAUGAUCAAGCUCUCCGCCGCUAGGAAACUACUAUUGGAGUCCACCAGUUUUUGAUUAGCUUCCUUAUUCAUUUCAUUUUUCUCCAAGUUGUGCAUAUUUAGAUCUAAAAGACUCGAAUUAUUGUAUAUUGAAGGUUGGCUACAAUAAAUCAUACUGAUUGUCUGAUUGCAGUAGGGGCCCCAGAAGUUCGUCAUGGGGCAUCCUUGUAUAACUAUGCCGGUGCUGACCGUAUAUGCUUUCCCUCGACUAAUCUGCAAUUGUAUUUUAACACAUUAUGGCUUAAGAAAUAUAUAUUCAAAAAGGAAGCAAUAAUCUGAAACAAGAAGGAUUAACAAGAGAAGCAAAGAGAUUAGACUGUUACAACUGAAAGUAUUAGCAAAGGUAAUGCAAAUCUAUACACUAAUUACACUUAUUAUUCAAGUUCCAAAGGAGUAUUGCUGGUUCAACGAAACUGUCUAACGUUACUCAAUCAAAUUCUGAAGAGCAUACCAUCUUAGAUUGAGUGCGGGAAGGCCCCAGGCCAUUAAAGUAACCAAUGUACCACACCCCUGGAGAUAUCUGCAACAUAGAUUUUCUAGUCAUAAUUUGCACCAUCAAGAUGAUGAAAUUGAAAAAGCAUGCUGAAAAAUGCACUAAAACGUCAGUAAUCUAUAUUACAAAAUGCAGAUCUUAGAAAAGCGCUUCCAGGAUAUUAGUUUUGUCAAAUUUAGCAGAUAAGAAAUUUUGAAAAUUUUGGAAAUUCCAUGAUUGCGGCAAGUGAUGAAACGUAAGGUCAGAAUAUAGAAGUUGCAUAAAAAACUUCACCUCGGAGUGACAAAACGUGUGUAUGUUUUCGGAAUGGAUAGGAUCAUUGCUGACUCAAAUAUCAACUAAUCACAAUACAGGAGACCAUGAGUUCUGACAUAGUUUUAACUUAUACUAUAUUUUGUUUUAUAAUUAAAAAAAUUAAAGGAUCACAGCUAAAUUUUCAGUUGGACAUGAUCGGAGUGUUCCUAAGAAAUCCAGCUGAGGAUAUCUCGAGAGUACGACACCUUAAUGGUAAAAAGCCAUCGAAAUAUUAGGCAGUAUAUAGUAAGCUAAAUGUGAAGGUGUACUAGGAAAAUACCUGCUCAUUCGUCAAUGUUAUUGUCAUGUUUUUCUGAAAUGGUACACAUUGCCCAACAUCUGAUAGAUUGUUUGCAUCUCCGAAAGAUCCAGUUGAAAGAAAGUUUGAUACUGCAAUAAAGAACAUUCCUGUCAACAUUAUCUUGAUCAGAAUGGAUGGAACCAAAUUACGGGGAAAGGUACUCAAUAAAAAUUGGAAAAAAAAGAAAAAUAUAAAAGUAAAAUUUUUAGAAACAUUUCUCCUUAGAAUAAUUUGCGGACUCUUAAAUUUUUCAUGGAAACUGUGGACUGCAAGUGGAAGAUUCUAUUAAAGCUUGCUAAAUAAAACAGGGGAAGACAACUUAAACAUUUUUUUAAAAAAAGAAAGUUGUACGGGAAAAUUUGGGGAUAUUUUCUCAUAUGUAGUUGGAAAAUAUCAUUAAUAGCUAAAAUUGAGCUAAUUGAAACUAUUGGCUUCCACCAGAAAAUGUUCAAAGAUAGUAAAAUGGAGAACCACUAAAGAUAUGCUUUAUUGAAAUGACCGACUUGAUAGAGCAUAACAACUGGAUUUCAGUAUUUCCUCAUUUCUGAGGGUUAAAACCUUAUUUCAAGAGCAAAGUAAAUAAUGAAUGCAAAGAAAAGUCAAAGCAAAAGCCUGUUUCAAAAGCUGCUAUUAUUGCUUCUUCAAAAAAUUAUGCAAUGCCGAAAUUGCACCACCAAAAGUAUGCUUUAAGAAGUUAGAGAGCUUCAGAAAAAACAAUUAAACAAAAUCUUAGGCCUCCUUUGGCAUCAUUGCCCUUUUUUUGGGUUUUUUAAAUAGAAUUUCUCCAUGAAAUAGUAUAUGAGGGCACAUCGGAUUGCUUGCAAUCUUUAUAUUCAAGGUGUUCGUUUGGCAACAAAAAAAUACAUAAAUAAAUAAAAAUUUGGAAGUAACUUUUUUUAUUUUCUUCUUCCAAGUUACUUUUUUUAAACAAGUUGUCAGCCAUCACUUGACCAGAGUGCAGCGCAAGCUAACCAACCAUGAUAAUAUAAGAGGAAAGUUCUUCCAACAACAUAUCAAAUUAUAUAGAAUUAGUGUUUAAGAAAAACAAUAAAGUCGGCAAUGACGCCAAAUGAGCCCUUAAUAUAUUAAAUGAAAUCCAAAAAUGAUUGUCCGAAACAUACAUAAACUAUCCAGAUAAGUAUCUGAUAAAUCUGGGAUAGGAGGAUUGCCCUCCUUUAAACAAAUAAUGGGCAGCUCGCCCAAUGGAAGAUCUUUUAUCUUCUCUCUAUCCUGCAUAGUUUAAGGGACAGAUGACAAAUCAAUACCACAAAUUAAGAACACUAUAGCAAUAAAUUAAUCAUACGAUAGUGACUGCAAGAAAGCUUCAGAACUAAUUUCUGUAGAUUGUCAACGUGAGAAAAACAAACAGAGUUAGAAUUACAGGACACAAGCACUCACGAAUCGCUGCUAUAGAAAUCUAUACUAGAAAAGAAGGAAAACCAGCAUACUUUAUCUUUUCGUCAUUCUUGGCUAUUUCUUUUCUCCUUCUGCUUUAUAUAGACAUCAACAUAUAGUAAAGGAAGUUGAUUGGAGCAACAAAACAAAAAAGGGAACAAUAAUGACUAACUUGUCAAUGAUUAAUGCCCUUGCCUGCUUCUCAGUUGCAGCACGACUACUAAAGCACCAAUAAGUUUUGGACGUAAGACAGCUUGCAAAGAUCAGAUCAAAGAACUAAUGCCACCUUUGCAGCUAAUUGCAAGGAUGGACUUAUUUCGAGCAGCAUGCAUUAAUAUAACAUGGGCAAAAAUUGCGUAUUUAUUUCCUUCUUCGUAAUAAAACUAUUUCUUGUCCAAGAUUACUUUGUAAAAUUUGAGAUCAUGAAGAUUGCAGAAUUCCAACUCUCAAUCUCAAUAAAUAGAAGGAAACUCGGAGAAGUACACCUCCCUAACCUAUGUGCAUGUUUUAUUCAAUAUCAAUGAAAGAAAAAUAAAUUGGAAUAAAAUGACGGAUGUUGCUCCGGUCUAGACUUUAUAUUGCAUUCGACGAAUAACAUGCGUAAGCUUCUGAAAGUGCUAAAACAAAAGGUGGUAUAAAGAACCAAAACAGCUCAGGUUAGUUCUCGUGAAGGCCACAGAAAUCUAAAAAGCAAAAUAAAUAAAGAGAUAAAGAUGUAAUCAUGAAGCUGAAUAUUACGAAUGAUCGACAGAAUAUAAGAAAACUUACUAUAUCAACGUUAGUCAUAAAAUUCAUGGUGGCGGCGGAGAACGAAGGCGGCAGCUCAACUGCAGUAAGGUAUUAAAAACAACUGAAGAUAUUUCAGUAGUAUUCUCAUAUAGUGGUUGUUUUUUAUUAGCUAUUUAACAACAAAAAUCAAAAUUGGCCACCAUAAUACGAAAAGAAACACUCAAUAAUUCACCUAAAUUCCUACAAAUAUUUUUUUUUUAAGAUUUUCACGUGAAAUUAGAAGAGUGUAAGUCGAGUGAACGUAUUAGGCAAUUGGCAUACAAAAAUUAUUUAGAUUCCAAAUAUUCUUAUUGUGGAAAAAAGAUUUAAAAAAAGGGAAAAAUUACAACAGGCACUUAAACUUUUAAAAUAUUCUCUAGAUUGAGGAUUGAAAGAAGAAACACGCAGCUUUUCAAAACAAUAUUCUGCGGAUCAUCAAACUACUCAAACAGAAUAAAAAUCAGAACAUAAUUUUUUUAAAAAAAAAUAAAUCUGAUUCAUCCCAGAUCAGUGUCCAACCAAAAUGAACAGAAUAGAAAUGGAAUCAUCUGGACAUAUCACUGGAUCAUCUCAAUAAAUGGGAGUAGUUUCUUCCAUUUAAUUCAAAAAAGAUCUCAAUAUAUCAUUGCACCAUAACACAAAGUAGAAAAAAUAAUAGCUCAUAAAUA
rnacentral:lncRNA from 1 species